AAAUGAAUAGACGGGGGCCCGCACAAGCGGUGGAGCAUGUGGUUUAAUUCGAAGCAACGCGAAGAACCUUACCAGGGCUUGACAUCUACCUGACGUUAGCUGGAAACAGUCAACUUCUCUCGUAGACAGGUAGACAGGUGGUGCAUGGUUGUCGUCAGCUCGUGUCGUGAGAUGUUGGGUUAAGUCCCGCAACGAGCGCAACCCUUGUCCUUAGUUGCCAGCACAUUUGGUGGGCACUCUAAGGAGACUGCCGGUGACAAACCGGAGGAAGGUGGGGAUGACGUCAAAUCCUCAUGCCCCUUAUGUUCUGGGCUACACACGUGCUACAAUGGCCUGUACAACGGGUUGCAAAGGGGCAACCUGGAGCUAAUCCUUCAAAACAGGUCUCAGUUCGGAUUGCAGGCUGCAACUCGCCUGCAUGAAGCAGGAAUCGCUAGUAAUCGUGGAUCAGAACGCCGCGGUGAAUACGUUCCCGGGCCUUGUACACACCGCCCGU
rnacentral:rRNA from 1 species